GACGAACGUUGGCGGCGUGCUUAAUACAUGCAAGUCAACUGAAGCACCGGUAGUAAUACUGGUGUGGAGGUGGCGCACGGGUGAGUAACACGUAGGUAAUCUGCCUUCAGGUCUGACAUAACCCCGAGAAAUCGGGGCUAAUAGCAGAUGAUGCAGCGGCUUGACAUCAAGACAGUUGUUAAAGCUUCGGCGCCUGAAGAUGAGCCUGCGUCUGAUUAGCUAGUUGGCGGAGUAAUGGCCCACCAAGGCUACGAUCAGUAACUGGUCUGAGAGGAUGAUCAGUCACACUGGAACUGAGACACGGUCCAGACUCCUACGGGAGCAGCAGUAAGGAAUAUUGCUCAUGGGAGAAAUCCUGAAGCAGCAACGCCGCGUGAGGGAU
rnacentral:rRNA from 1 species